GGAGGAGCCGCCCGCGGCCCGAGACCAGGGGUGCAGCUGGGAGCGGCGGGGCGUGAGCGGUGUGCGGGAGGCGGCCGGGCGCAUCGCGGCGGAGAGAGUCCCGGAGCCGCCCGCCCUCAGCUGCCUGGGACAGGACGGCUGAGUCUGUGUUCAGGAACCAUUGAUAUGCCCACAUUUGGAGCUCUGUGUAUCUGCGUGCGUGCUGCAUACAGGAGCAGCAAUGUCGGUGCAGGUGGCCGCCCCUGGAAGCGCGGGGCUGGGCCCAGAGCGCCUGAGCCCCGAGGAGCUGGUGCGGCAGACCCGACAAGUGGUGCAGGGGUUGGAGGCCCUGCGGGCCGAGCACCAUGGCCUGGCCAGGCACCUGGCUGAGGCCCUGGCGGGUCAGGGCCUUGUGGCCGGCUUGGAGCUGCUGGAAGAAAAGCAGCAGGUGGUGAGCCACGCGCUGGAGGCCAUCGAGCUGGGACUGGGUGAGGCCCAGGUGCUGCUGGCCCUGUCGGCGCACGUGGGCUCGCUGGAGGCCGAGAAGCAGCGGCUGCGAGCGCAGGCCCGGCGGCUGGCCCAGGAGAACUCGUGGCUGCGGGAGGAGCUGGAGGAGACGCAGCGGCGGCUCCGGGCCAGUGAGGAGGCCGUGGCCCAACUGGAGGAGGAGAAGAGCCACCUGGAGUUCCUGGGGCAGCUGCGGCAGUAUGACCUGCCCGCAGAGAGCCAGCGGCCUGAAUCCCCCCCUCGCCGAGACAGCCUGGCCUCCCUGUUCCCCAGUGAGGAGGAAGAGAGGAAAGGCCCCGAGGCAGUGGGAGCUGCCGAGGCUCAGCAGGGGGGCUACGAGAUCCCGGCCCGCCUUCGGACCCUGCACAACCUUGUGAUCCAGUACGCGGGCCAGGGCCGCUACGAGGUUGCCGUACCGCUGUGCCGUCAGGCCCUGGAGGACCUGGAGCGGAGCUCAGGCCACUGCCACCCCGACGUGGCCACCAUGCUCAACAUCCUGGCGCUGGUGUACCGAGACCAGAACAAGUACAAGGAGGCCACAGACCUUCUCCACGAUGCUCUGCAGAUCCGGGAGCAGACGCUAGGCCCUGAGCACCCUGCGGUGGCCGCCACCCUCAACAACCUGGCGGUGCUCUAUGGGAAGCGGGGGCGGUACCGGGAGGCAGAGCCCCUGUGCCAGCGAGCCCUGGAGAUCCGGGAGAAGGUCCUGGGCAGCGACCACCCUGACGUGGCCAAGCAGCUCAACAACCUGGCCUUGCUCUGCCAGAACCAGGGAAAGUUUGAGGAGGUGGAGCAGCACUAUGCCCGAGCCCUGAGCAUUUAUGAGGCCCUGGGAGGGCCCAACGACCCAAACGUGGCCAAGACCAAGAACAACCUGGCCUCGGCCUACCUGAAACAGAACAAGUACCAGCAAGCAGAAGAGCUGUACCGAGAGAUCCUGAGCCGCGAGGACCUGCCUGCCCCUCUGGGAGCCCCCAACCCAGGCACAGCUGGUGACGCAGAACAGACCCUUCGUCGGAGCAGCUCCUUCUCCAAGAUCCGGGAAUCGCUAAGGCGUGGAAGUGAGAAGUUGGUCUCCCGUCUCCGAGGCGAGGGGGUGGCAGGCGCAGCCGGGUGAGUGUCUGAUCCAGGCAGGCAAGAGCCCCACCGCUGCAGCUUCUGUAACCCACCCCACUCCCUGUCCUGUUCCAGAACCUCCCACAGUUCCCCUCUCCUCUGCCACCCGUACAGUCACAUCCGGUGCCAGGCAGGUCUAUGCCCAGAGUGGGAAGCAGCCACUCGGGGGACUCACCCUGCCACCCUCUUUUUACAGGAUGAAGAGAGCCCUGUCGCUCAACAUGCUGGAUGCGGAUGCGCCAAAGGCUGCUGGGCCCCAGUUCCCCAAUCAGCACCCGAGCGAGGCGUCGCGGACCCUCAGCACCAGCCCCCAGGACCUGGGCCCCCGCUGAAGGUGACGGGACCGUGUGGCUGCAGCUUCUCAGGAAGAAUGGGGAAGGGGUGGCCUUUCAUCUCCC